UUGAAUUUGCAGCUUAAAUUUUAUAGCUAAAAAUAGAUCGUGUUGUAGUGAAUUAAAGACUCAAAAUCUUUCAUCUUCUAAUCCAUUAUUCUGUUCUCUCUCAAACUAUAUGGAAAAACCUUUAGGAAAAAUCAAAGUAGAAGACUCUCUAUUCUAAUUCUUUCAAUCUUUUUCAAGAUUAUUCUUCAAGGUAAGUACUUCUCCAAGAAUUUCACUAUUUCCAACUCAAAUUCCUCCAUGUAACUAUGAACCACUAAUUAAAAUCAUAAUUAUUGGUCAUAGAUUUUUCAAAAAACUAAUUCAAAAAUUUCAAGAAAGGCUUUCUUGAUUGUUCUCCUUCAAGCAAGGGUUUCAAGGCUUCUAUCCAUUUUUUUUCAUGAUUCUUCAAAAAACUUGUUCUUCACGUCUAUAAGGCUAUCAUAGUGUUGGACUAGUUCGUCCUCACGCCAUACAUCUACUUUCAAAUCAGUAAAAGUGAAAACUAGGAUCCUACCCUUAGAUUUGAUUAUUCUUGAGCUAAGCUAAUUUUAAGUUUUUGAAUUCUUGAUUCUUUUGAGAUUCUAUUCCUAAGUAUUAAGUUUAUAUAUUGUUAUUGAGAUCUUUGAGGUUAUUUUUAAUGACUAUAAUUCAACAUGAACCAUAUUUGAGAUAUAAAUCUUGAGAAGUUUUUUCAAAGCCAACAUUUCAGUUUCUAAGGAAGUAAAUAUGAGUUUUGAGAAAAAGUUUAAAAGUUCUAUUUCAUGAAGAUUUUAAGAGUUUUUCUAAUGUUAUUUUAUUCAUAUAUAUACAUAUACAUAUGUACCUAUGUUAAUUAUUGGACUUUAAAAAUAAGUUCAUAAGUGCAUGUAUUCAAGAAGGUAAACUGUAACAUAUCAGAUUCUAGAUAAACUAAAGUUAAGCUAAGAAAAAACAAGAAACAUUAAAUAUGGAAAUAAGUAAAGAAAUAUGAAAAAGUUCUAGAUUUCAAAAGUAAGUUUUGGUCAUUUUCAAAAGGCCAUAACUCCCAGCUCAGGAAGAAUUUGGAUGAGUUCUUUAUAUGGAUGGAAAGCUUGUUAAAAUAUCAUCCCAACAGCGCCAUGUUUUCAGACUUCCAAGGUCGUUUGAGUGAGAUAUGACCUUCGUAAGAUGGGAUGUUCAGUAGUGAAAGUUUUAAAAAUAGAUUUAGUAAGUGUGUUUUUUUCUUAUCCUUAAGGAAAUUAAUUAUUUUGUUUUGGAGUAAUAUGUUUGGGUCUAAACUAUUCUCAUUCAGUUUACGCACUUAGAAAAAAUUAACUAAGGUUUUGAAAGUAAGAAGAAAAGAGGAGAAUGAAGAAGAAGACGCAAGAACGCCAAGUUUAGCUUCGUGAAUCUUUGUUGGGGGUGAUUCCUAACAAGAUAUAGAUGUUCAUAAUUAUCAACAGGGCUGUUUUGAGAUCACUCUACACUCCAGUUAGCUUCGUCAUAAUUACUUUCGAGUUAGUAGUUUUGAGAUGUCACGGGUCUUAUCCUGACAUCCUUUGUUAAUAGUACAAGCUUCAUAGAAAUAUAGUUUUGGAAAGUGUUUUAGUUUAAGAUAUUUUAUAUAAAAUUUAUAUUUCAUAAUAAGUAUAUCCAAUUAUGUUUUGAUAUUCAAUAAACCAUUUUUGACGUUUCUUUCAGUUUGAUA